CCUUGUCAACUUCCUAUUCUGGCCAGCAUGUCGAAGAGAGAAGGUACAUUUUUGGACAGUACAAGCAAUGGCUGUAUUCGAUAGCACUGGGUGCAUUGAAAGCCCAAUAGGCACAAAUGAAAAUAAUCAUUCUUGAAUGCUAAAAUUCAUCGCAACAGAUUCAACAGUAUUUUUAUUUCUCUCCCAUUCAAAAGACUCAAUUGACUCUUCCAUGCAGGAAUGUAAGAUGGAACACAUUCAACAAUCUUAGUUUCCUGAACUAGAUAUGUGUACUUCAAAGCGUACUUAGCGAUGCUACCACUGGUGGUGCAAGUACAUGACUUACGUUAGGUAUUUAAAGUGAAAUGAACUUAAAUUUUUCAUCAACUUCUGCAGUGGUAUGCAUUUUUUUAUCUUCUUUCAGAACUUUCCUUGAAGGGAUUUAAAAUGAACGAAAUAUCAUCACAGUUCAAAUCCAUCAAUGGAUGAUGAAAAGCAUCUUCAAAUGGGCCGUCUUUUUAAAAAAUAAAUAUUAAUAAUUUUUUUACACUUUUUGUGACACAUUUGCCUAUUUUCUAGUGUUUUGAGUUGAUCACUUUUCACGUCUUCUGGUAACUUUUAACUUAUUUAAGUUGGAAAAUUGGUCACCAUAUUCUGUCGCUAUUCUAAAGCUCUCAGUCUACUCGAUUAAGCUGAAAAGUGACAGAAUCAGUAAAAACGUUUCAGGUGUUUCAGAACCAAUCUCUACAAAUUUAUCCACAUUGUUUAAAACAUUUGUUAAAUAUUCUUACAUCAUCUAGUUAGCAUAUUUCAUUUUAGAAAUUAACUGCUCUUUGAGAAUAACUUUUGUUAUUGGAUUUUUGGUUAAUGUACCUUACGUAAUUUAUUCAAGUUUUGUCUGAAGAUUUUCAUAUUUUAAGUGCAGUACCUGUGAUAGUUUUAUUCUGAUAGCAAUUGUUGCUGAAGCUGUUUGAUCUUUUUGAAUUCAUUUAUCAAUUUCUAGUCUAUUAUGUUCAGUAAUUUGAGUUUUUACCGACUGUCCACUAUCGACUUCCAAAGAUCGAUCUGAAAUAAAAUCACUUUUCCUUGAAAAUGUUGUGUUUAGAUAUUAGUUUUAUUCAGUCUUUCGAUUUGUAAGUUAGGAUUCAUUUUGCUAUGCCUAAAGUUUCUUAUUCUUAAGCUUCCUUCUCCUAAGCUUGCGUGCUCCUAAGCCAAAUUUUUGUUACUCCUAAGCUUUCAGUGAAGCUAAGAAAUUAUUAAUUUUGCCUGCCUUGCUUUUCCCUAAAGAUAUUCACUUACCUUGGAACGGGACCUCUUUUUGUACUGUUAGCCCUUAACUCUGUUAGAGAAAAAUAAAACGGGCUGUCUAUGACUUUACACAACCCAUAAAAUAAGAGUGUAGAGGCAGGUAUAUGAGGUUAAUGAGCAUAAGUAGUUAUUGGCUUCAUUACUUAAGUCAAUCAUUGGUGCUUGAACUUUGUAAAAAUCUUUGUUUUUUUGCACAGGAACUUGGCAACAAUGCUGCCAUUCCGCUUCCUCCGCUUCCUCCUGUUUAUAAAGGGUGCAGUAACCAGACAUAUUUUAGCACCCAGACGAUCUGGUAGCUAGGGCUAAUCAGCACAGAAGCCUUACAUUCAUUAUGGGUUAUCACAUCAAAAGACGCUUGAGGUUAGAAGAAACUUUUCCGAGAAUCGAGCUUGUCUUGUCUCCUACCAAAGCAGAAUUCUUAACCGAAACAUGUUCCAAUGGAGCUUAUGUCCAAGCUAGCUAAACAAAACUUUUGAAACUAAACUGAAAAUUUCUCUUGAAGCUUUGUCCUUCAUACUAUUUCUCCAAAGAAAUGGUUUUCGCAUAAGUCAAACAAUCAGAUAUCCCGAAAACAAAAUUCUGGGAAACGUUUCUUUCGCCAUUGCUGUUGAGGGUAUCUUGUAAAUGUGAUUCCAGUUUUACAGGAACCGAAUACAUUGAAGUGUAGAGCAAGGACGUCGUACGCACCAUAGAAUCAGGAAGAAGAGCAAGGACAUAUUUAGCUCACUGGUACUCCUGUUUAUAUAGUAGAGCUUCGUGACAACAUUUUUCAGCGCCGCAGCAAAUAGUAAUGCAAGUUUAUAACAUACGCUAAUAUAAAUAUGAUAUUUUAGCGUAAAAUGAUACAUGUUUCUAAAGAAAAAAACAGUGAAAGUAGGUUGAUAUCUUAGGAAUAUUAUCAAGAAUAUGCAAAAGAUCUCCCUGACCACUUCUCAAAAAUACUGUUCGAAUGAUAAACUAGCAGGCUAUUGAGAUUGUGCAUUAUCCAGUAGGUUCAAGGGGUAGUAAUGUCGCCUCACAAUCAAUGAAGUCAGAAGUGUUCCUAUUACAUACGUUCCAAAGCAGCACUGAAGUCCGGGUGGCGGGCAAAGCUUGCAGUGAAGGAGAGUGAGCGAGAGGCCGCCAAAUAUAUCACCUGUUUGAAACACUGAGUGACCUGCAUUUCACAAUGUGGUAAGUAGCUGUUACGAGGAGCAUAAAGUUGGAGGAAAAACCCUGUGUAACCUAGAAUCUUCUGGAAGAAAUAAAAGGAUUACAGUUCAUCUCAA